rnacentral:rRNA from 1 species
AGGAAGGAGAGUCGUAACAAGGUCUCCGUAGGUGAACCCACAGAAUGAUCAUUU